rnacentral:lncRNA from 1 species
ACAAAUUAUAUCCUCUCAAAUAGGAGUAUCUCCAGACAACUCCCAACCCUAAAACUUUAAGAAGUGAUUCACUAGUCCUAAUCCUGAAAAAGAGGAAGGUGCAUGCCUCAUGCACUUGCUCAGCCCCAGAUUGUCCUGUAAUCAAACCCAGCCUGCAGCCUACUCAUACAAAAAUCCAUACCUGACCACAAUAUAGGCCAACUUAACGGAAGAACACAACUAAUAACAGAGCAGAAGAGAGAGAUGCAUACACUUGUUUCUUACAAAAUUUUGUAUUUUCACAAAAUAUUGCUUCAGCCAACAACUUAGGUAUCAAUUCUCGGUACUACUGCGUUUAGGUAUGUAAACCAUUUAGGAAUCCGACAUUUACCCAACAAUGUGGGUGGUCUCUCUUUCCAUGCACCACCAUACUAUCAAUAACACAUUUUGACACUUAGACAUCAAGCAACAACCUCAGAAUUUAAAAUAGAAGAUGCAACUCAGAUUACUGCAAAACCACACUCUACUGUUAAACUCCACUGUAACAUGGAAGAGUGACACCAGAAAUUUAGCAUUCAUGCAUGUUGUUAGGAACAAAAUCAAUCAUGACUCUGAUCUUCUCAAUCUAAUUCUUCCUCGGACCACAUUAAAAAUCCUAGUCUACCUUAGCCAAGACCAAUUGUCUGCAAUAUAAUAACUAGUACAAUCUUAACAUCAACCUAGUUGCACCGCAUAAAUCUACCCCUCAAAACCCCUCCUGAAUACAGUAUAUAUGAAUGACAAAGUGUGAACGUUGAUCUGGGUAAUUAUCUACACACUGUAUUUAAUUUUAAGGCAUUGGGAAAACAUGAAAUAAAUAUGGUGGAUGGUGCAAAUAUUAGUCUAAUUUUAAGAUCCUUAGGUUCUUCUCAGUAAGUGUUCAGCACGAGCUUAAAAUCUUAGAUCUAUAGUUCUUGAACCCCAACUAGUAAUAGAUUUCCCCGGCUCUCAAGAUCAUGACGUAACAUAUACUUAGGCCCUUAUUCUUUUCACCAGAUUGGACACAAGAUUCAAAGAAACAAACAACGUUAUACAGAUUCACAAACUGGGAGAAUAGUUCCAACCAUUGACUUUCGGAGGCUCAAAUUUGUUGACAAUAGAUAUGUAGUAGCAUCUUAACUAAAUGAUCAAUUUACCCAGCCAGAAAAGCCAAGUUGAAACAGAGAAAAGACUCAAGGUGGUCCAUCGUUCACAAGACCCUUAGGUUCUUCUGUCAAAUGUUCAGCACCAGCCUAAACUCCUGGAUCUAUAGUUCUUGAAUCGCAUUCAACGAUAGAUUUCCCCAUUUCUCAAGAUCAUGACAUACCAUAUGGUUAGACCCAUAUUCCUUGAUCAGAUUGGCACAGAAGAAUCAAGAAACUACACGAAUCGAUUUAAAAAAAAAAGCGUCGUACAGAUUUAUAAACUGGGAAUACAUCGUCAUGGCAGAAGAGAAUAAACUCCAAGAAAUAACAAGAACCAAGAAUAUGACCACAUAGCAUGGAAGAUUGGGUACCUCGUCCAGGUGUCCGGAUCGACCCAUUGGCGAUGGGGAGCCGCAUGGUGGGGGGAGAAACCCGAGACAUCUGCCUGCGAGAGAACCGACAUCCCCCCGCCCCCUUGCGCGGCAAGACCAGUGGAUCCGCGGUGGCGAUCGUACCCGGUUUCGCCCGCUCCUUCUUGGAUCCAAGGACGUCCGCAGAACUGCGAUCGAGGGAACUCGAAAGAGGGUUUCGAUCGAACAAACUUGGGUGGAUCGGAAAGCAACGAGGAGGGAAAAGGGAUGCAAACCGUUUAAAUCGUGACGACGCUAAUCUUUUUCCCUUCGAAUCCUCGUUUCUUUGCGUACGGAAAC